UCGACGGUGACGACAGGGCUUGCUCUGUCUGAUCAGUGGCGAACGGGUGAGUAACACGUGAGUAACCUGCCCCCGACUCUGGAAUAACCGUGGGAAACGACGGCUAAUACCGGAUAUGAGACGCACGGGCAUCUGUGUGUCUGGAAAGAUUUAUCGGUCAGGGAUGGACUCGCGGCCUAUCAGCUUGUUGGUGGGGUAAUGGCCUACCAAGGCGACGACGGGUAGCCGGCCUGAGAGGGCGACCGGCCACACUGGGACUGAGAUACGGCCCAGACUCCUACGGGAGGCAGCAGUGGGGAAUAUUGCACAAUGGGCGCAAGCCUGAUGCAGCGACGCCGCGUGAGGGAUGAAGGCCUUCGGGUUGUAAACCUCUUUCAGCAGGGAAGAAGCGAAAGUGACGGUACCUGCAGAAGAAGCGCCGGCUAACUACGUGCCAGCAGCCGCGGUAAUACGUAGGGCGCAAGCGUUGUCCGGAAUUAUUGGGCGUAAAGAGCUCGUAGGCGGUUUGUCGCGUCUGCUGUGAAAACCUGAGGCUCAACCUCGGGCUUGCAGUGGGUACGGGCAGACUAGAGUGCGGUAGGGGUGACUGGAAUUCCUGGUGUAGCGGUGGAAUGCGCAGAUAUCAGGAGGAACACCGAUGGCGAAGGCAGGUCACUGGGCCGCAACUGACGCUGAGGAGCGAAAGCAUGGGGAGCGAACAGGAUUAGAUACCCUGGUAGUCCAUGCCGUAAACGUUGGGCACUAGGUGUGGGGCUCAUUCCACGAGUUCCGUGCCGCAGCAAACGCAUUAAGUGCCCCGCCUGGGGAGUACGGCCGCAAGGCUAAAACUCAAAGAAAUUGACGGGGGCCCGCACAAGCGGCGGAGCAUGCGGAUUAAUUCGAUGCAACGCGAAGAACCUUACCAAGGCUUGACAUACACCGGAAAAGUGCAGAGAUGUGCUCCCCGCAAGGUCGGUGUACAGGUGGGUGCAUGGUUGUCGUCAGCUCGUGUCGUGAGAUGUUGGGUUAAGUCCCGCAACGAGCGCAACCCUUCGUCCUAUGUUGCCAG
rnacentral:rRNA from 1 species